CCUGGAUUCAGCGGCGGACGGGUGAGUAAUGCCUAGGAAUCUGCCUGGUAGUGGGGGACAACGUUUCGAAAGGAAACGCUAAUACCGCAUACGUCCUACGGGAGAAAGCAGGGGACCUUCGGGCCUUGCGCUAUCAGAUGAGCCUAGGUCGGAUUAGCUAGUUGGUGAGGUAAUGGCUCACCAAGGCGACGAUCCGUAACUGGUCUGAGAGGAUGAUCAGUCACACUGGAACUGAGACACGGUCCAGACUCCUACGGGAGGCAGCAGUGGGGAAUAUUGGACAAUGGGCGAAAGCCUGAUCCAGCCAUGCCGCGUGUGUGAAGAAGGUCUUCGGAUUGUAAGCACUUUAAGUUGGGAGGAGGGUUGUAGAUUAAUACUCUGCAAUUUUGACGUUACCGACAGAAUAAGCACCGGCUACUCUGUGCCAGCAGCCGCGGUAAUACAGARGGUGCAAGCGUUAUCGGAAUUCUGGGCGUAAACGCGCGUAGGGGGUUGUUAAGUUGGAUGUGAAUCCCCGGGUCACCUGGGAACUGC
rnacentral:rRNA from 1 species